rnacentral:rRNA from 1 species
UACGUAGGGAGCGAGCGUUAUCCGGAUUUAUUGGGUGUAAAGGGUGCGUAGGCGGUUUGUCAGGUCUAAGGUUUAAUCCCGAAGCUUAACUUCGGUUCGCCUUAGAAACCGAUUAACUAGAGUAUUGUAGAGGCAAGUGGAAUUUCUAGUGUAGCGGUAAAAUGCGUAGAUAUUAGAAGGAACACCAGUGGCGAAGGCGGCUUGCUGGGCCAUUACUGACGCUGAGGCACGAAAGCGUGGGGAGCAAAUA